AGCAGAAGCAGUGGCUUUAGAUAAAAAGGAAAAAACUCUGCUCUGCGAGGAGGCCCUCAGCUCUACACAGAACGAAAUGCCAGAAACAGAAGGAAUGGAACAAGAUGUCUCCAGGAGAGGGCUUGUGUUACUGGGAGAACGAGUGGAGUCAGUUGGAAGGAAGAAGGAUCAUGUCUUCAUGGAGGAUGAGUAGCUCCACUGGUUAUGCCAAAGCAAGCCUGGUGGGGAAUUCUCAGCAUUUCUCAGAUGCUUUGGAAGAUACAACUUAAAGGACUAAAGCCUCCUCUAUCAUAUCUGAGAGGUAUCUGAUGCAAGGCAGAUUGGGGGCAUUAAAAACAAGGGAGAAAGGGGGACAAAAGAUGACAGAAAAAGUGUGCACAAAGAAAAAGAAAAAAAAUAUAUUUGUAUGUUGGGAGACAGUGUUUUGGGCCUCAGCAAAACCUACACCAAGGAAUAUCCUGCUAAGGCUUAAUUAAGUUCUCUUAAUUAUGUCUAUUUUGCCACUAAGAAAGAAAGAACGAAACUGAAAAUGUGCAUUAGAUUAAAGUCAAGACUAUGAAAGUUAAGAACUUCAUUUAUUUAAUCCCAUUGACCUUUAGUUUCCUCACCCGUAAAAUGUAAAUAAUGAUACAAUUGUGUGGCUAUGCUGCAAAUAUAAAACAAAGCAAUGUGAACUGAGUUCAACAUAGUAUCUGGAUUAUCUCAAAAAAUACCUAUUUUAUUUUGCAGUUAUCUUCUGCUUGUCUCUAUAGUGAUAAAAAUGCCAAAAAAGGAAUUGAUAUGAAAAUAGUUCUGCAAAUUGGUUCAAAAGGCCAAUAGGAAGAGAACAAAAACAUGAAGUAGAGGAAGUAAGUUUUUGGUUACCACCAAAGCUUCAACAGGACCCAAGAUAUUCCUGUAUGAUAUGUUGGACCCCAGGCCACCAACCGAGUGCUCAGUUCAGAUCCCAAUUUCCCCAAGCUGUAGAACUUCCAUCCUCCAAGUGUAUCUUCCAGAGUCAUAUCAUCCUCAGGAAGUGAUUCCUAAUGUUUUUGAGAAUUGCCAACCAACUUGAAGUUCUAAUAAAAACUACAGAUCCUUUUCUCAUUUGUAGGCAUUCAGUCUUAUUUUGGGCAAAUAUUUGCUGAGCACCUAAUCUGUGCAAGGUACUGUGUUCAGUUCUAGAGACACAAAAUAAAAUUAUUUAAAAACAUCUCUUCUUGCUGUUACUGAGAC